CUGCCAACUGCUGCCAACCACGGAUCAUCCACCGGAGGAAAUCGGAGAGUCGAAUAAGCAAGCUCAAAUCCGAUCGAACAAGCACAUCAUCCUGCCGGCAACGCCAAGUUUCUGUCAAAGAUUUUCUCGGACAAAGUUAAAGAAAUGACUCGGCACACAGGAAAAUUGUCUUCAAUAUCGGCGGGAGGGGAUCUCUGAGAGCGAACGACGGUAGUU